UGCAGUCGACGGCAGCACAGAAGAGCUUGCUCUUUGGGUGGCGAGUGGCGGACGGGUGAGUAAUGUCUGGGAAACUGCCCGAUGGAGGGGGAUAACUACUGGAAACGGUAGCUAAUACCGCAUAACGUCGCAAGACCAAAGUGGGGGACCUUCGGGCCUCACACCAUCGGAUGUGCCCAGAUGGGAUUAGCUAGUAGGUGGGGUAAUGGCUCACCUAGGCGACGAUCCCUAGCUGGUCUGAGAGGAUGACCAGCCACACUGGAACUGAGACACGGUCCAGACUCCUACGGGAGGCAGCAGUGGGGAAUAUUGCACAAUGGGCGCAAGCCUGAUGCAGCCAUGCCGCGUGUAUGAAGAAGGCCUUCGGGUUGUAAAGUACUUUCAGCGGGGAGGAAGGCGGUGAGGUUAAUAACCUYGCCGAUUGACGUUACCCGCAGAAGAAGCACCGGCUAACUCCGUGCCAGCAGCCGCGGUAAUACGGAGGGUGCAAGCGUUAAUCGGAAUUACUGGGCGUAAAGCGCACGCAGGCGGUCUGUUAAGUCAGAUGUGAAAUCCCCGGGCUUAACCUGGGAACUGCAUUUGAAACUGGCAGGCUUGAGUCUCGUAGAGGGGGGUAGAAUUCCAGGU
rnacentral:rRNA from 1 species